UACGUAGGGGGCUAGCGUUAUCCGGAUUUACUGGGCGUAAAGGGUGCGUAGGUGGUUUCUUAAGUCAGAGGUGAAAGGCUACGGCUCAACCGUAGUAAGCCUUUGAAACUGGGAAACUUGAGUGCAGGAGAGGAGAGUGGAAUUCCUAGUGUAGCGGUGAAAUGCGUAGAUAUUAGGAGGAACACCAGUGGCGAAGGCGAUUCUCUGGACUGUAACUGACGCUGAGGCUCGAAAGCGUGGGGAGCAAACAGGAUUAGAUACCCUGGUAGUCCCUGAG
rnacentral:rRNA from 1 species